rnacentral:snRNA from 1 species
GUUCGCAUUGGCAGCACAUGUACUAAAAUUGAACCGAUAUGGAGAAGAUUAGCAUGGUCCCUGUGCCAGGGUACCAUACAAAGUUGUGAAGUGUUCUGUUUUUCA